rnacentral:misc_RNA from 1 species
AGUCGUAACAAGGUAUCCGUAGGUGAACCUGCGGAUGGAUCAUUAACAAAGAUCUUACUUUACGUUCUGUGAACUGUUUUGAAUUGACAGUCAGCGGGGAGGGGCUUGGGGUGCCGCGCGCUACUGCUACUGUUGCUACCAUUACUGCUACUGUUGCUGCUACUAUUACUGUAGUGGCUGGGUGGUGGAUAAGGGUAGUUAGUAGGGGGUGGGUGUGUGGUUACCGCGUGUUCGCUCGCUGGCUGUACCCAACUUAACGUACUAUAACUUUUGACUAAAGUAGCAGCAGCAGUUGCUUGAACAAUAAUAACAAACAACUUUUAGCAAUGGAUCUCUUGGCUCUC